AUGGAUCAUUACCAAAGGAUUAUUAAUCCCGACGUACUAUGUGAACUGUAUAGAAUUGACGGUCAGUGUGUGUGUGUGUACUUUUACACACGCUCGCACUGGCCGUACCCUAUUAUACGUAUUUUUUUGAACUGAAAUCCUACUUUAGUAGUUUUUAUAAAAUAACAAACUAAAGACAACUUUUAGCAACGGAUCUCUUGGCUCUC
rnacentral:misc_RNA from 1 species